UACGAAGGGGGCUAGCGUUGCUCGGAACCACUGGGCGUAAAGCGCACGUAGGCGGACUCUUAAGUCGGUGGUGAAAUCCUGGAGCUCAACUCCAGAACUGCCUUCGAUACUGGGAGUCUUGAGUCCGAGAGAGGUGAGUGGAACUGCGAGUGUAGAGGUGAAAUUCGUAGAUAUUCGCAAGAACACCAGUGGCGAAGGCGGCUCACUGGCUCGGUACUGACGCUGAGGUGCGAAAGCGUGGGGAGCAAACAGG
rnacentral:rRNA from 1 species